GGGCUCGUGGUCUAGGGGUUAUGACGUCGCCUUGACGAGGCGAAGGUCGGGAGUUCGAAUCUCCCCGAGCCCA
rnacentral:tRNA from 1 species